ACAGUUGCCAUAAUUUACGCUCUCAAAAUUAAGAAAUCUAAACGAAAAAGAAGGUACUGGGUCCAUCCGUUAUACGAAAGGCGUCUGACAAAUGAAUGAGCGUUACGUCUUUUGAUGAAUUAGUGACGUUGAUGAGACCUCACUUGCAAAAGUCAAAUAGUCACUUUAGAAAUUGCAUCACUGUGGAAGAAAGAUUAACAGUCACUAUAAGGUAUCUCGCGACUGGAAUGCAUUUUGAUGCUUUGCAGUAUUCAUUUUUAAUGGGAAGAAGUACAAUCGCAGUGAUCAUUUAUGAAUGUUGUCGUGCAUUAUGGACUAUAUUACAACCACUAGAAAUCCCCGAACCUACUGUUGAAAAAUGGAAAGAAAUAGCAGAGGAAUUUGAUCAGAAAUCUAAUUUCCCCCACUGCUUUGGGGCAGUCGAUGGGAAACAUAUUCGUUUAAUGUCACCAGAACAUAGCGGAUCGGCAUUUUUUAAUUACAAGAAACAUUUUUCGCUCGUGCUUAUGGCGAUUUCUGAUGCAAACUAUUGCUUCACAGUAAUAGAUGUAGGAGCAUACGGACGGGAGUCCAAUUGCAAUGUUUUUAGGCAAAGUACUGUUGAAAGAAAGACAGUGAGCUUAUUAUACCCAGUCCAUCAGUUUUGGCAGAUAAUUGUGACCAACGUAUUUAUCCCUAUGUAUUAGUGGGCGCUGAAGCUUUUCCUUUACAUCAAAAUUUAUAAAGGCCAUAUCCAAGACGUAAUCUUAACGAGAAUAAAAGGAUUUUCAAUUACAGAUUAACAAGAGCUAGGAGGUUCGUGGAAUGUGCCUUUGGCAUUCUGGUCAAUAAGUGGCGUAUGUUUCAUGCUAGCAUAUUAGUGUAACCAGAUUUUGCAGUGCUGGUAAUAAAAGCAGCUUGUGUCUUGCAUAACUUUGUUCGAAAACGGGACGUAUACAAAUUUGAAGACACGUUAACUUGCUGCUUAAAUGAUAUAGAUGUACAUGGGACUGGAGGACAACAACUACGAGGACAACAUGUCAGAGAUCUUUUUACUGAGUAUUUUGUAUCGCCUGAAGGCAGUUUGAGUUGGCAAAAUGUUGUGAUAUAGAUAAGUAUUAUUGUAUUGUGUUUAUUUAAUAGAUAGGUAUAUUAUUACCUUUGUAAACAAUUAUUAUAUUAAAACACUUUCUGUACAUAUAUAUGAAGUAUUUUUCUUACCUUUUAAUCUUAUUUCUUCCGGAGUCGACAAAUUUUGAUCCGAAUACAUUUCCUCCAAAACCUCCUGCCAAGCAUUAAUUUUUUUAUCCCGACUUUUGUAUUCCUUGUCAGAAACAUCCCACAAACACGUCCGAUUUUGCACCAAAAUAAUAAAUUUUUCUGUGUCGAAUAUAUCCAUGGUUCAAAAAUGAUCUGAUCUCGUUCUUGGCCGCGCGGUUAAUGUGAACACGUAAUCAAGAAACAACACGUUGAAUUUCCGAUCCCGAACCGCGCAAAGAUGCGGUUGAG